GGUCCGAUGGUGUAGUUGGUUAUCACUUCUGUCUAACACGUGACGCAAGGUCACAUGGUAUCACAGGCGGUCCUCAGUUCGAACCUGGGUCGGAUCA